UGGGGUUCGUGAAGCUAGGUUUUGUUUUCUAUGUUGACUUGUGAAUUGAAGACUGUUGGGUGUCUUUUGGUCGUUUUAAGUUUCGCGUCAUGACAGUUUGUCUUUCACUUAACGUUUAAUUUCCCCUUUGGUAUUUUCAGUUUUUCUUUUGAAAACCUGUGACUUUGAGGCAAACAGUUCAUGUGCAUGUGUUCAGUAAAGUGUGUAUAGUAUUUUAUUUGCCCUUUAAUAUCGUAAACACACAAAUAAAAGGUGUUUGUCUUCAAACUUCUUAUUUAAACA
rnacentral:lncRNA from 1 species